AUACCCUACGGGACGCAGCAGUGGGGAAUAUUGCACAAUGGGGGAAACCCUGAUGCAGCGACGCCGCGUGGAGGAUGAAGUAUUUCGGUAUGUAAACUUCUAUCAGCAGGGAAGAAAAUGACGGUACCUGACUAAGAAGCCCCGGCUAACUACGUGCCAGCAGCCGCGGUAAUACGUAGGGGGCAAGCGUUAUCCGGAUUUACUGGGUGUAAAGGGAGCGUAGACGGCAUGGCAGGUCUG
rnacentral:rRNA from 1 species